rnacentral:snRNA from 1 species
AUGCCCACUUGACAGCACAAACACUGAAAUGACAGUAAUACAGAGAAGAUCAAUAUGUCCCCUGCACAAGGAUGAUAUGCAACUUCCUAUUUUUUU